rnacentral:rRNA from 1 species
AAUGAACGCUGGCGGCGGGCCUAACACAUGCAAGUCGAACGGCAACACAAGGAGCGUUCGCCCCUACGGGUAGCGACUGGCGGGUGAGUAACACGUGCAUAAGCUACUUCUUAUACUGGGAUAACUACGUAGGGCAGCUUACAAUACUACCGCAUAUGUUCUACCGGUUGAAUCAGUAGUUAUUCGCGCCUUGGCUGACUGAUUUAGACGAAUUCGCGCUGCCUUAGCUAGUUGGUAAGGUCACAGCUUACCAAGGCGCCGAUGCGUAGCUGACCUGAGAGGCUGAUCGGCCACACUGGAACUGAGACACGGUCCAGACUCCUACGGGAGGCAGCAGUAGGGAAUUUUGCGCAAUGGGCGCAAGCCUGACGGAGCAACACCGCGUGAGUGAUGAAGGUCUUCGGAUCGUAAAACUCUUUUAUUAGGGAAGAACAAAUAUGUAAUUAACUAUGCACGUCUUGACGGUACCUAAAAAGAAAGCCACGGCUAACUACGGG